CAGGUCAGCAUACUGCCGUGAAUACGUUCCCGGGCCCUUGUACACACCGCCCGUCACACCAUGAGAGUUGGGAAUACCCGAAGCCUGUGAGCUAACUUAUAGAGGCAGCAGUCGAAGGUAGAGCCAAUGAUUGGGGUAAAGUCGUAACAAGGUACC
rnacentral:rRNA from 1 species